CACGAACCCGACAAACGUUAUUCGGAAUUACUGGGCGUAAAGCGCGUGUAGGCGGCUUGGCAAGUCGGAUGUGAAAUCCCGGGGCUCAACCCCGGAAGUGCAUUCGAAACUGCCUCGCUAGAGUUCUGGAGAGGAAGGUGGAAUGCUUGGUGUAGAGGUGAAAUUCGUAGAUAUCAAGCGGAACACCGGUGGCGAAGGCGACCUUCUGGACAGUGACUGACGCUGAGACGCGAAAGCGUGGGGAGCAAACAGG
rnacentral:misc_RNA from 1 species